ACCAGACUCCUACGGGAGGCAGCAGUGGGGGAUAUUGCACAAUGGGGGGAACCCUGAUGCAGCGACGCCGCGUGAGUGAAGAAGUAUUUCGGUAUGUAAAGCUCUAUCAGCAGGGAAGAAGAAAGACGGUACCUGAGUAAGAAGCCCCGGCUAACUACGUGCCAGCAGCCGCGGUAAUACGUAGGGGGCAAGCGUUAUCCGGAUUUACUGGGUGUAAAGGGAGCGUAGACGGCAGAUCAAGUCUGGAGUGAAAUCCCGGGGCUCAACCCCGGAGCUGCUCUGGAAACUGAGAAGCUAGAGUGCUGGAGAGGCAGGCGGAAUUCCUAGUGUAGCGGUGAAAUGCGUAGAUAUUAGGAGGAACACCAGUGGCGAAGGCGGCCUGCUGGACAGCGACUGACGUUGAGGCUCGAAAGCGUGGGGAGCAAACAGGAUUAGAUACCCUUGUA
rnacentral:rRNA from 1 species